rnacentral:rRNA from 1 species
GAAGCUGCGGCAGCGAACGUAUCACCCAAGACAACUUUACGGAGUUGACGAUUGACGGAGCGAAGCGACGUCAAAGCGUUCAUUAAAGUCGAGUUGGCUUAGGGAUACGUUCGUUGGGUAGGGGAGCGUUCUGUAAGCCUGUGAAGGUGUGUCGUGAGGCAUGCUGGAGGUAUCAGAAGUGCGAAUGCUGACAUAAGUAACGAUAAAGCGGGUGAAAAGCCCGCUCGCCGGAAGACCAAGGGUUCCUGUCCAACGUUAAUCGGGGCAGGGUGAGUCGACCCCUAAGGCGAGGCCGAAAGGCGUAGUCGAUGGGAAACGGGUUAAUAUUCCCGUACUUGGUGUUACUGCGAAGGGGGGACGGAGAAGGCUAUGUUGGCCGGGCGACGGUUGUCCCGGUUUAAGCGUGUAGGUGUGUGUUCCAGGUAAAUCCGGUUCACUUUAACACUGAGGCGUGACGACGAGGCACUACGGUGCUGAAGCAACAAAUGCCCUGCUUCCAGGAAAAGCCUCUAAGCAUCAGGUAACAUCAAAUCGUACCCCAAACCGACACAGGUGGUCAGGUAGAGAAUACCAAGGCGCUUGAGAGAACUCGGGUGAAGGAACUAGGCAAAAUGGUGCCGUAACUUCGGGAGAAGGCACGCUGACACGUAGGUGAAGUGAUUUACUCAUGGAGCUGAAGUCAGUCGAAGAUACCAGCUGGCUGCAACUGUUUAUUAAAAACACAGCACUGUGCAAACACGAAAGUGGACGUAUACGGUGUGACGCCUGCCCGGUGCCGGAAGGUUAAUUGAUGGGGUCAGCGCAAGCGAAGCUCCUGAUCGAAGCCCCGGUAAACGGCGGCCGUAACUAUAACGGUCCUAAGGUAGCGAAAUUCCUUGUCGGGUAAGUUCCGACCUGCACGAAUGGCGUAAUGAUGGCCAGGCUGUCUCCACCCGAGACUCAGUGAAAUUGAACUCGCUGUGAAGAUGCAGUGUACCCGCGGCAAGACGGAAAGACCCCGUGAACCUUUACUAUAGCUUGACACUGAACAUUGAGCCUUGAUGUGUAGGAUAGGUGGGAGGCUUUGAAGUGUGGACGCCAGUCUGCAUGGAGCCGACCUUGAAAUACCACCCUUUAAUGUUUGAUGUUCUAACGUGGACCCGUAAUCCGGGUUGCGGACAGUGUCUGGUGGGUAGUUUGACUGGGGCGGUCUCCUCCUAAAGAGUAACGGAGGAGCACGAAGGUUGGCUAAUCCUGGUCGGACAUCAGGAGGUUAGUGCAAUGGCAUAAGCCAGCUUGACUGCGAGCGUGACGGCGCGAGCAGGUGCGAAAGCAGGUCAUAGUGAUCCGGUGGUUCUGAAUGGAAGGGCCAUCGCUCAACGGAUAAAAGGUACUCCGGGGAUAACAGGCUGAUACCGCCCAAGAGUUCAUAUCGACGGCGGUGUUUGGCACCUCGAUGUCGGCUCAUCACAUCCUGGGGCUGAAGUAGGUCCCAAGGGUAUGGCUGUUCGCCAUUUAAAGUGGUACGCGAGCUGGGUUUAGAACGUCGUGAGACAGUUCGGUCCCUAUCUGCCGUGGGCGCUGGAGAACUGAGGGGGGCUGCUCCUAGUACGAGAGGACCGGAGUGGACGCAUCACUGGUGUUCGGGUUGUCAUGCCAAUGGCACUGCCCGGUAGCUAAAUGCGGAAGAGAUAAGUGCUGAAAGCAUCUAAGCACGAAACUUGCCCCGA